rnacentral:rRNA from 1 species
GAUGAACGCUAGCUACAGGCUUAACACAUGCAAGUCGAACGGUAACAUGGAAGUAGCAAUACUUUUGAUGACGAGUGGCGGACGGGUGAGUAAUAUUUGGGAAUCUACCUAUCAGAGGGGGAUAGCAACUGGAAACGGUUGAUAAAACCGCGUACGCUCUGAGGAGGAAAGUAAUGGGAUCGAAAGACCAUUAGCUGAUAGAUGAGCCCAAACGGGAUUAGCUAGUAGGCGGGGUAAUAGCCCACCUAGGCGACGAUCUCUAGCUGGUUUUAGCGGAUGAUCAGCCACAUUGGAACUGAGACACGGUCCAAACUCC